AGCUUUGCAUAGUGGCAGUUAUCAUAGCCAAUGAAGUUUAUCCGAGGCACAAUUAUUGCUAACUGAAAAUAAAAUAACUGAUGUCCAGCCUUGGUUUAAAUUAUGGCUUGGAAAUUCUGGGAGCUGAAAUCCAC